AACAAGGCCAUCGAUGGUACGCUCGGACAACUAGUCGUGUUUCUUAGCUCGCGUGGCUGGUAACAAGCUCGGCAUCCAUUUUUCCAAACUUACCAAGAUGCCGAUGACCGUUAUUUCUUUCGGCUCCACUAUCUGUGUUUUGCUCGAGUCCCUAUGACCUAAUCUUUUUCAUGUGAUUGUUAUAGUAUGACACAUUGUUCUGUAUGAUUUUUUCAAAUACAUGGUGAUAUUUGCAGUUAAUCUUUUUCAUCCAAGUGAUUGGUUUAAUAAAUUCUGGAUUCUAUUAAAGGGUUGUGUUUUAUGAAUCGAUGGUUUAUACGUAGAAAUGGUAGAGAUUUUUAUUGUCAUUUCCUGUAAUUUCAGUGUAGAUUUUCGAGACCGAAAAAUUUUGUAAGUUUGCAUCUGUACUUGCAUGCGCUGCGAAUGUAUUAGCUCUCCAUCUUAUCUCUUAUUUUUUUACGCAACCAUUCAUUUCUCGAGAAAAAAUUGCAACUCAGUGUACGGUGUAGAUUGAUAGAUGAUAUGGGAUCGACGGCCGAUGGAAGUGUGUUGUAUGUAUGUAUGUACAGGUGCAUCAUCUGUAAGCUACAAGGGGAUAUUUAGAAAUGACUAUUCAACGUUUAAAAAUUUUGAUUUUACUAUCUGACCUUUCAAAUAGUUUGAUUUAUUUUUUAAAAAAUAAUUGCAUGCAUCAUGUCAUUUUUUUUUCCUAAAUACAUCGCGUAUUAUUGAUUAGUAUGUGAGGAAACGUGAUGCAGCUAGGUUUCGAACUUAGACAUCUCGGGUAUCAACUAUGAUAGGGAUUGCCAUUGCAUGUAGUAGUCGAAAUUAAUAAACAACUAAAAUCAAACAAAAUAAAAAAGAUUAGAUAAUAAAAUCAAAAUUGUAAAAGAUUACAUAGUGGUUUCUUANAUCAGCAUCCUCGCUCAGGUUCGGCGCCGAAUUCAGGUCACAACACUAAAAGCACACUUUGUCUCCUAAUUCCCCUUCCUCUCUUUUUUUCUUUUUUUCUUUUUUUUUUGGAUGCAGGAGCGCGUUCUCGGGGCCGCGUUGGGGAUCGCGUUCACGGGCUCCAUCCUCUUCCAUCAGCGCCGGGAGAUUUACCGAUCCAUACCCAAGAACAGUUCUUACUCAUAUCAGGUAUCGAUUUCACUAUUCUCCCCUUUUUUUCCGAUUCAAAAUCGAUCAUCAGAUCAGUAAAAACAAAAAAAAAACAAAAAAACGAAAAAAAAAAGAUACAUAAUUCACACAAUUUUGAGGAGCAUGCGUAACUCGUUUCGUAGAUCGCGCAAAUUUGGACGAGGUAUAAUUUUUUUUUUGUUUUUUCCGUAUAAGAUUCGGAAGUUGGUUCAUCAAAUGAGGAGAUGUUUCUCUUUGGAAACAAUACAUUUGCGAAUAGGCUUUUAGUGAUCUUCAUGUCUUAAUUUGUAUGGUAUUCAAAGUUGGUUUUGAUUCGCCGUAUCUUACAAUUGAACUGCAAAGUUGUGUUGCUAGGCAUGGUUUUGUUAGACAAAUUUGUUAUUAUGUAGUUUCACAAUCAACGUAUCCAACAUCUAUAGCAUUUAAAACUCGUCGGUAGCAACAUCUUCUUUAUGAGUUAUCAUCUAAUUAUCAUGUUGAGAAUUCUCUUCAAUGGAUUCUCUCUCUUUUUUUUAACUCUUGUUUGGACAAUAGAUGAAAAUUUUAGCCCACCUCAGGAAAAAAGUAUUUUCGCGUGAGUUACUGUAACUAGUAAGAGUAUUGAACCAUUAGAGGGGAACGAAGAGUACGCACAAGUGCACGCGAUGCCACAUGGCCCCUCUCGAGUGAGAGAAAAAAAAUUGCUAGAAUUUCUUCAGUUAUAUUGUUGAUGUGACAUCACCAACCAAUCAAAUUGUUAUAGAAAAAAUAUUCUUUUUUAUACUUUUCUCUUAAAUAGACGGAUGUGAUUGACUGGUUAGAGAUGAUGUGGUGUGACUGCUACGUAGUAGAAAUCCUCCUCAAGUGACUCCCUAGAGAGGAAGAGUACAAAAAACCAAAGUUAAAAGUGGUAAAUUUCAUUUCAUGUUAUACUACCAAACGCGCAUGUGCGAAUGCAUGUUUAUUAUAGUGAGGUUGUAAGCAGGGUUUGAGCAGUUACAUGCAAAGAAGUUCCCUUUUGUUAAAUAUUUACAAGCGAAGCAGUUGAGUUUCUUUUCGUUUGGAGUUUGGACACUGUGGGUUGUGCAAUAUUUCCUUGAUUUUCUACUUUCCAGAUAAAUCAUCUGAAGCUAAAAUGAUGUUCAGAAGUGUAGAUAGUAAGCAAGCCAGCUGCUGAAAUCAACUUAGUUACCAGUUAGUUGUAAUUAAAUUCGUGCAUGCGUGCGUUCAACAUAGUGCAUUACCUUUUAUUCUUCUACGUUUUGUUAUUGUGAUCUCGAACUCUAUAAGUUGAUGACAUGUAAGUGGAUUUUCUUUGCAGUAUAAAGAAUUAACACAUGGAAAGAACUCUACGGAUCUUGCUCGAAUGUGGAACAAGGCCAUCGAUGGUACGCUCGGACAACUAGUCCUGUUUCUUAGCUCGCGUGGCUGGUAACAAGCUCGGCGUCCAUUUUUCCAAACUUACCAAGAUGCCGAUGACCGUUAUUUCUUUUGGCUCCACUAUCUGUGUUUUGCUCGAGUCCCUAUGACCUAAUCUUUUUCAUGUGAUUGUUAUAGUAUGACACAUUGUUCUGUAUGAUUUUUUCAAAUACAUGGUGAUAUUUGCAGUUAAUCUUUUUCAUCCAAGUGAUUGGUAUAAUAAAUUCUGGAUUCUAUUAAAGGGUUGUGUUUUAUGAAUCGAUGGUUUAUACGUAGAAAUGGUAGAGAUUUUUAUUGUCAUUUCCUGUAAUUUCAGUGUAGAUUUUCGAGACCUCAAACUUUUGUAAGUAUGCAUCUGUACUUGCAUGCACCGCGAAUGUAUUAGCUCUCCAUCUAAUCUCUUAUUUUUUUACGCAACCAUUCAUUUCUCUGAGUAGAGAAAAGAUUGCUACUCAGUGUACGGUGUAGAUUGAUAGAUGAUAUGGGAUCGACGGCGGAUUGAAGUGUGUUGUAUGUAUGUAUGUACAGGUGCAUCAUCUGUAAGCAAUAAGGGGGG
rnacentral:lncRNA from 1 species